AGAGGAAAUAGUGUUGUCACUGUUGAAGCGCUAGAACCUGUAAACAGAGCAAUGUGAUUAUGAUUUUAUGUUAGUACUUUCCACUGUAGUUUAAAAUCUAUUUUCACCUGGUACGGCUAUAUGUGGGAUGCACGACUGCAAGUCAUUCUGUAUUUGUAGAUGCAAGUAUGGUUAUGUGGGCCUUUUAUUUCAUCAGUAAUUCUUGCAUUAGAUUGCAUUUCUAGCGGGCUUAGGCUGCCGUUGAGUAUCUUGCAAUGACAUUUACA
rnacentral:misc_RNA from 1 species